GAAACGUGCUUCAACAACUUACUUUCUUAAUGAAUUUACUAAUUUUGUAUCUCAACAUAUACCAGAAGUGGGAAUUCAUUUGUUCCCAUGUUAUCAGUGUUCAAUACAACCCGAAUUGUUUGAUGAAAUGAAGGAUUGGUAUAGCUAUCAGCCCAUCAAUACAUUUAGUAAUAGACAAUUUAACAUUUCUGGACUAUAUCAUAGUCUGAUGCAUGAAAGCAGAAAAAAUAGGAUAGGAUGUCUCAAGGGAAUGAGCGAGACAUUUUUAGGAGAACUGAUGCAACAGUGCAAUACAGCUAAUACAUGUAGUGUACACAGCCGAGACAUGCUGCAGAUAGGAUUGAAUAUGUUAAAGGACAGAAUACAUCAUCAUAAUGCAAUGAUAAUGUUAGGCAGAGAUUCCCUUUCACUACGGAUGAAAACCAACCUGCUGAUGGUCAGGGACAGUGCUAGACAGAGGGUUGUGCUCGGGUGUUAAGGAGCCACGAGUCUGUUCUGGCACAAAAGUGCUAUAAUGUCAUCUGAAAAUGUUCAAUUUAAUCAAGUUGUUACUUGCACUCGUCGGACCGAAUACAGAACACAAUUUGGGAGGGCGAAAGUGUUAACAUAUAAAAAGUUCGCUAGAGGACUCUUUUUUUUUGGAUUUAGCGGCAUCAAAUGGAACAAUGAUGUAAAACUUGGGGCUGGAUGAGUAAGAAGAUAUGUUCAACCUGAGGGGUCAACAAGAGUCCCUGAAAGCAUACUUUCCACAGCAACACUCCCACCCACAAGAGCAGGUCACAGUGUGCCUAAAGAAAAUGUGACAUCAAUUUAUGUAUUAGUCGCACUCCCACCCACAAGAGCAGGAUGUGCCAAAAGAAAAUAUGGCACCACUUUAUGCACCACGAACAAAACCUUCCGUAAGUAUAUUAAUGUACAGUUUAAAUAAUUUUCAAAAAUCAUGAUUGAUUGUUGGUUUUUAAACGUCCAGUGGCAAAUAUUUCAUACAUGUUCAGGACGGGAACAAGUUAACAAUUAAUACUGUCA